AGCCGGCCCGCAGUAAGUGUUAAUCUCCAGCCAAAGAGGGGGGCUGCUUUGCGGGAAUUUGUCUCCAGGAAAGGAUCUGAGCCUUCUUCAAUCGGAGCAUAUGUUCAUAGAGCAAUAAACCGGAAAGAUUUACAGUCCUCGCCCGGCCCCCAACAGCCUCGCACCCUUUCAGGAAUUACUUACGAUGAUUUAUCACACCAACCCAGGCAAUUGUCACACUGAUAAAAUAGCCCGGGCCGGUGCCCGCCAAGCCCGGGCCUUGGGAGGCUGUUGGCUGCCGGGCUGGCGGCGGGGCUGAGGAGGUUUUUUGUGGGUUCCUCUCUGGGCCUACCAGGGGAUGUCGGGGUGGGUGGGUGGGGUUGGGGGGUGGGAGGGCAGCCAAUUCUCAUUGAGAAAAAAACACAAGCAGCUCAGAGAAAGCGCCCAGAAUCUGCGCCAGAGUCACUUGCAAAGCACAUAAACAUUUGUCAUCUUUGAAUAAUUGAAUUAAUGUGUUAUUGUUUGAAUGUAUAAUUCACAACGGAGGAAACUUUGUCUCUGUCCUGACGAGGAAAUAUACACACACCAAAAAAGAAAUCAAAACACACACAAUCCCAAAACAACCACCACACGCAGACAGCCCCCAGCUCGCCGAUGUCAUCCUCAAAGCCAACUAGAGGGAAGGAGGCAAAAAAAGAGAGGCCCUCCUCCCCGGCAUCAGGGCCGGAGUGGCGAGCUGGAGGAGAAUGCCCACUGCUGCCCCCAGCACAGAUCUCCGGCAAGCUGGGGGUGGGGUAAGGGGGUGGGAGUGGAGUGGUCCGUGGGACCUCGCAGCUCCUUGGAGUGCACGAGAAAAAAGGCUGAAACUGGAGCCAGCGGGAGAGACAGCUCCUGCCUCUCACCCUAGCCUCUUCCCCCCCAACCCCGUUUCCCUUCCCCCGAGGCUUCUUCCCCUCACCCCAGGGUCUCCCAUUCCUCGGGCGGCGGGGACUUCUCCCUGCCUUUAUUUUAGAUCUUCUCCCCAAAUUAAAGAUACAAAAAUCGAGGGGAAGGGGGGCAAACUCCUUGCUGGGGUGACAGAAGCAGCAGAGCGUGGGUGCGUGGGUGGGUAGUGGGAGAAGCAACUCGGAAAUCAUUAUCUGUUGGUUGAAACCUGCCUGGGGUAAAAUUUCAACUCGAUUUUAUAGCCUUCCAUUAUGACGCAAAGAAAAAUUUACGACCCUCGCUUGAAAAGAGGGCCGAGGCCUUUUCUCACCGGUUUAAGAAUAGGCAGCAGAUGCCGUGACAGCGACCAUUGUUCCCGGUAGACACAGGCGACCGAGCAACCUCGGCCCGCGUGCGCCAGGCGCGUCCCCCAGCCGGGCGGGUUUUUACUACUCCUGUCGCCUCUGAGCAGCCCGCGCGCACCCUCGCCCCUCGCCCCCCGCACACCCUCACACACCCUCUCUCUCUCUCUCUCUCUCUCUUUCACACACACACACACACACACUCGGCGGCUCUCAGUAAUUUUUCAUAAGUGCAAAGCUUUGCUGAACCAAAGGUCACCAUCCAAGCCACUAACAACUUCUCGCCGGCGCACGGUUCCAAAUCAGGAAGCAAAGGGAACUAUUUGUCAGUGGCCUGACAGCUAAGUUCAUUAAGGAUUUAAAUCAGAAUAAAUAAAAGUCGCGAAAAUAUUUACCUGCCGGCCGCGCUCCCGCGCCCGCCGCCUGGGGCCGAGGGUGGAGGGCUGGGGGCGCCGCACGGCCCCCCUCGGCGGGUGAUAUUCUUGGGAUCCCUGCACUUUCCAAGUCGGAGAGAGCCCUUUGCGUGGCAGAUUAAUGACGACUCCGUGUUUCUUAAGGGACGUGCUGAAUUAAUUAUUUCACCAAUCACGUGGUCGGGACUUGUAGAAAUCUAUUCUUAUCAUCUUCCUCGCACUUUGAAAAUUCUCCGGGUUAUGAAAGGCCCUCCCCCGGCUGGCGGCGAGCCCCGGCCGCCCAGCCCGGCGCGGGGGGCAGGGAGGGCUCCCCAACAUGGCGGGCGCGCGGGAAGCGCAGUCUGCCGAGGGUCCCGAUUUACUGUACUGUACUCCGGCGGGCUUGGCUGUGCACUCGCUUCCUCCUCAUCCCUGCCCGCGAUUCAAUACACACAACCGUACUGAUGUAUUGGUGGGCACAGGAGGAGCCAUUAAGCAGAAGACGGGCAGAGAACAAUCAUAAAAUGUGUCUGAAUAUUUAAACUUCUGUCUGCGCACUUAUAAAUACACAUGUCCACGCGUCUGAGGCGAGCCCUUCCAUAUAUUAAGGACACAUGUCUGAUUUUAUGCAUUCUGCUCAUUUCCUGUCGCGAGUAAGGCCCCCUCCCAUCUAUUUUGGGACUCCUGCCUUGGCCCCCUCUUCAAGGCGAAGCCAAGACGAGAAAAGCCCUCGUGAAAAAAACAGCACACGCCACUUUUUAUAGUGGGGAGUGUUUAUUGUGGUCUGGAGGGCGGAGGGGGCACUCGGGGGAGGAGGGGCAGGUGCUGGAGGCCCCGGUGGGGCUGAACAGCACAGAAGAAGUAGAAGGAGCCCAAGAUUGGAGGCCAGAGGGGUGAGAUCCGAGCAGCCACCCGCCAGCCCCAGGUUGGCCCAGAACCCAGCACCAGACACGCCCUCAGAGUUGGGGGUCCAGGAGAUCUCUCUCACCCACCAUGUCACAAAGAGAGACCGAGGGGGCCUGGGGCUGAUCCGGGCCAUGCUGAGAGCCAAACUGGAGCCUCCUUUUAGCCCGGGAAGUUCUAGAACUUGCUGCCGGGUGUAGGCCGUCCGGGACCUCUUGGGCUCCCCGCCGGUGUAGUUGGGGUUCACUGCGAGACAAGCAGACCGCACAGUCAGGGCCCUCCUACUUGCUGUCAACUGAAUAAAGUUGGCGGCCAUGUGACCAGACCAGCCAAUAGCGAGGGAGUGAGUUUAUCACCGGGUUGGUGAGCAUCUCAUAAUUUUCACAAAUUUAACUAAAUAAC